AGCCACACAAAUUCCAGGGUUACUCAAGCAGAUGCUGGCUGUAUUGGAUGAGAAUGCUCUGCCAGGACUACAGGAAAUCAGUGGCCAAAACUGCAGCAAUCACGGUCCUCUGGUGUGCUGUGGAAUGAAACGUCCUUGUAAAAAAAGCACUGUUCAUCACCCACAAAGAGUUCACCACUGACUAACUGCCUACAGGGAGCCUAGAGUUGCACUCUAGCCCCCCUGAGGGCAGCGAAAGCCAAUCGCUGUGCAGUGACAAGAUGAGCAACCAAGACAGGCCAGUGUGGGAAAACACAUUGACUCUCUGGCAGCUCUGGAGUGCUUCCUUACGGUAGACCUAGAUUCUGACCAGAUCAUGAGGGUCUGUGAAAGUUCCGCGAGAGUGGCCUGCCCAACAGCACCCUUUGGACGUAGGAU
ensembl:lncRNA